rnacentral:lncRNA from 1 species
ACUUGAUUUGGAGCCUGCCUGAAAUUGAUUUUUCAGAAGCUGAAAAAGCUGGAGUGCAAUGGCACCAUCUCAGCUCACUGCGACCUCCACCUCCCAUGUUCAAGUGAUUCUCCUGCCUCAGCCUCCCAAGUAACUGGGAUUACAGGCAUGCGCCACCAUGCCCCACUAAUUCUGUAUUUUUAGUAGAGAUGGGGUUUCUCCAUGUUGGUCAGGCUGGUCUUGAACUCCUGACCUCAGGUGAUCCGCCCCCCCUUGACCUCCCAAAGUGCUGGGAUUACAGGCGUGAGCCACCAUGCUGGGAUAAUUUUGUAUUUGUAGUAGAGAUGGGGUUUCACUAUGUUGGUCAGGCCGGUCUUGAACUCCUGACCUCAAGUGAUCCACCCACCUCAGCCUCUCAAAGUGCUGGGAUUACAGGCGUGAGCCACCACGCCCAGCCCACUUUCUUUAACUUUAAUAGAAUGAAAAUACAAAUCAAACCAAUCCAAUUUCUUGAGAAUAAAUUUUGAACUUGUAACACCAUUUCAAUAUAAAAAUGACACUUUGUUGCCUUUA